GACGCCAUAGCUAAGUGGUUAUAGCGUGCGAUUGCAACAUUGGAUAUUGUAUCGCGAGGUCCCGGGUUCAACUCUCGGUGGUGUCU